AUGCUCUGGUGCUACUUGUCGUGGUGAAUAUAUAUUUCUAUUUAUUUUCUUCUGUUUACGCGAAAUACAAUCUGCAAGAACAAGGGAUAUGGCGGAGGAAUGCUUUUUAAGCAUCUUGGCGAUGAACUGUUUACCUUCUGGAUAUUUGCAAUCUCAUUUGCAAAAGAUAUGACACACACACUGCCACUUUAAGGUAUUUCUUUUCUGAGGAAUUAUGUAGCAAAACGAAGAGGAGCCGUGCAAAAUUUCGGGCAGCUGUUUCUUGCAAGUUCAUGGGUACGAAGGUCGAUGAGGGUCAAUGUUCUGCAACAUGAACCAAUGUCAUUAGUGUACGGUGAUGACGAUGUUGUGAAAUUAGGUUGGCUAGGAUUCCAACAAUGAAAUGAUGAAAAACAU